rnacentral:lncRNA from 1 species
UAAUUGUGCCGGCUAUAGAUGGUUCCCAUUUAAUGUACAAAUUCCUUAUUUGUGUUUGUGGAGCUUUUUUGUUGGAUUAGAUAGUAAUACCGCAAAUCAGUCCAUGAUUUCAGCCCAAAUUGACCUAUGAAUACCAAUUGCCCGUUAAAGCUUCUAAUGACAUGUUUGGUAUAAAGUAAAAGUAGUGAUUUUAUCAGUUAUUUUGUUAUCUUUGGUUGACUCAUAAAAAAAAAUUCCGGAAAAUAUUUUCUAGUAUUUGGUCAGAUAAAAUACUCUUUCUACAACAUGAAAAAAAAGUACUCAUAUUAUUCAAACGAAAGAAAAUACUUUUUCUACGACAUAAAAACGUAUCUUUUUGUUGAAAUAAAAGAAAAUAUUUUAUCUAUAAUAUGAAAAGAAAAUACUCAUUUUGUAAAAAAAGAAAAUACUUUUUUACGUCAUGAAAAGAAAGUACUUAUUAUGUUAAAAUUGAACAAAAUACUUUUCUACAUCAUAAAAAAAAUUAUUUUGUUGAAAUAAAAAAAUAUUAUUUUUAUAACAUGAAAAGAAAGUUCUCUAAAUAAUAACCAUGUUUUGGAUCCUUCCAAACCAAUCUUUCAUCAAUUUUCAAUUAACUGUGCUAGGUAUACCUUUAUGUAAGCACUCUGCCAGGUCCAUACUAGAAAAAACUCGAUCAUGACAGGUAUUUCUAUUCAGGGUGAGGUGGGGGUUCAGGGGUAGGGUGGGGUCGGGUGGUGGGAGGUGAGGGGUUCAGGUGUAGGGUAGGGUUGGAUGGUGGGAGGUGGGUUGACGGUAUGUGAAAAGUUCUAAUUUUACUACUUUUUUAUUAUUCUUAUUUUUGUUAGUAUUAUAAAAUAAAGAACUAUUAACUAAAGUUCUAAAUCUUAAUUGAGAAGAAAAACCAUUAGACAUGAAUUAGCAUUUAUUUUAACACAUAAGACAAUAAGCAACUAGAAAAAAGAAAUUAAUCAUCAUAAAUCACUCCAGUAUGUGAAAAGUUCUAGUUUUUUACUACUUUUUUAUUAUUCUUAUUUUUGUUAGUAUUAUAAAAUAAAGAACUAUUAACUAAAGUUCUAAAUCUUAAUUGAGAAUAAAAACCAUUAGACAUGAAUUAGCAUUUAUUUUAACACAUAAGACAAUAAGCAACUAGAAAAAAGAAAUUAAUCAUCAUAAACCACUCCAGAAUAAUAUUUACGAAAAAGUAAUCAUUGAGGAAUUUUAAGAAAUCAGUAUGUGGCUAUUAACUUCCUAUAACUAUCAUAUGGAUAAUUAUUUCAUAUAGCUAUAAUUCAAUUGUUACGGUAGUGCAAUCGCUAUAUUCGCAUUGUUGUAUUCAUGAGUACAGUAGCAAAAAUGCUCCUCAAAAUCAAGGCAGUCCAGUUGUACGCGCACGUAUUCACAUGUAUUCGUGCCAUGCAUUCAUGAAUACAACAGCAAAAAACACAUAAAAUCAUUGCAGUCCAAGUGUAUGCGGAUGUAUUCACAUGUAUUCGCGCUAUAUAUUCAUGAAUGCAGUAACAUCAAUCACCUCAAAAGUAGGUGAUCCAACUGUCUAAGAGAGAGAGAAAACAUAAAUAGCGUAUUUCAUGCCUUAUUUCAUUCUCCAAUGAUAGUAUAUACCAUAAAUACUUCUUUUGCUAUAAAAAUUAUUUCCUUCAAAGUCAAGACUGACGCCUUUAUAUGCCCAUCAUUAGGGCAAACUUCAGAUUUUUAAGUUGCCUUUUAGUCCUCUAGUUUUAUAACUUGCUUGCCAAGUUAAAUCACCAUAACCCUGAAAUUCCUACUAAGGCCCCUACUAGAAGCUUCUUAUUUUGUUACUGAUUAGAUUCCCUUAAUCAAAUACCUAAACUACCCUCCAAUACCCAUGUUUUUACCCCCUUCAAACUUCGCAGAUAAAACAUGAAUCAGAACUGAUGUCAAACUCCAGCUAAUGGGCUGGUUGUCCUCACACCAUGGGCUAAUAAACACACAGACCCCAAGCCCAAACAAAACAAACAAAAUUUAGGGGAAGUAGCCCAAUUCACACAUCCGUUAAUCAUAAUUUUGUUUUUCCUUCUUUUCCCUCCUUAUUUUCUUGAAAAUGUUUUGGCAUUGAAAUUAACACUAUCACACUAGCUUAAUCUUACAGAAAAAGAGAUGGAGCAGAAUUAAAUGUUGAACUAAAGGAGGAACAGAACGUACCAAAAGACAAAGCAACAUCCAUAGCCUGUAAAAAGAAAAACUUCAAAAUCCUUAGUGACGAAGCUGACUCAAGAUCGAAACUCUAAUGAACUCAAAUGCCGGACCCAUUGAUGAACAUGGUACCCUGAAUAUCAGCUGAAACUUCGUUCAUAGCUAAUAAUUUGUACCAUAAUUCUUAUCAUGAGUUGGAAAGAAAUGAAGUGGACCCGGAAGGAGGCAAAGCGUUUUGAAGAACAUGUCUGUCAUACAGCCAUGGUCGAAGAGCAGCGCGUUCUUGGACAACGAACAAACCUCCAUUGACGGAGGACUAAGGUAUUCAUGCAAGCCUUAGCCGGAAAAAAAAAUUUAGGCAAGAGAAAAAACUUGAAUUUUUACCUUUUGAUCUGAAAUUGGGAACACUCUGGUGGUCUUUUGGAAAAAAUAGUGGCAGGACAUGAAAGAGAAGAUGGUGGGGAUCAUCUCAUGAAAUUUUAGGGAGAUUUGGAGGUAAUCCGCCGCCGUGAGACGAUCUCCGAGUGGCGGAGAGACGGUGACAGCGGGUGGAGACUUUAGAGAGUGGAGAAAUCAGGUCUUCAUUGAGGAGGAAUGAAUGACUCUAGGAGAAUUUGGUCGUUGAAUGGCAGAGAGUGAUGAAACGACGUAGUUUAAUACUGAAACUGCGUCGUUUUGGGCUAGCCCAAAACGUACCGGGUCUGGGAAGUGAUAUGGGCUGGGUUACAUGGGGUUGUGUAUCAGGUGAGGGGUUUGGG